GACGAACGCUGGCGGCGUGCCUAAUACAUGCCAGUCGAACGCACAGUUUAUACCGUAGCUUGCUACACCAUAAACUGUGAGUUGCGAACGGGUGAGUAACGCGUAGGUAACCUGCCUGGUAGCGGGGGAUAACUAUUGGAAACGAUAGCUAAUACCGCAUAAUAUUGAUUAUUGCAUGAUAAUUGAUUGAAAGAUGCUAUUGCAUCACUACCAGAUGGACCUGCGUUGUAUUAGCUAGUAGGUGAGGUAACGGCUCACCUAGGCGACGAUACAUAGCCGACCUGAGAGGGUGAUCGGCCACACUGGGACUGAGACACGGCCCAGACUCCUACGGGAGGCAGCAGUAGGGAAUCUUCGGCAAUGGACGAAAGUCUGACCGAGCAACGCCGCGUGAGUGAAGAAGGUUUUCGGAUCGUAAGGCUCUGUUGUAAGAGAAGAACGGGUGUGAGAGUGGAAAGUUCACACUGUGACGGUAUCUUACCAGAAAGGGACGGCUAACUACGUG
rnacentral:rRNA from 1 species